GUUUCCCUACGGGGCGCAGCAGUGGGGAAUAUUGCACAAUGGGGGAAACCCCGAUGCAGCAACGCCGCGUGAAGGAAGACGGUUUUCGGAUUGUAAACUUCUGUUCUUAGUGAAGAAAAAUGACGGUAGCUAAGGAGCAAGCCACGGCUAACUACGUGCCAGCAGCCGCGGUAAUACGUAGGUGGCAAGCGUUGUCCGGAAUUACUGGGUGUAAAGGGAGCGCAGGCGGGAAGCCAAGUCAGCUGUGAAAACUGCGGGCUUAACUUGUAGACUGCAGUUGAAACUGGGUUUCUUGGGUGAAGUAG
rnacentral:rRNA from 1 species